UACGUAGGUGGCAAGCGUUGUCCGGAUUUAUUGGGCGUAAAGCGAGCGCAGGCGGUUCCUUAAGUCUGAUGUGAAAGCCCACGGCUCAACCGUGGAAGGUCAUUGGAAACUGGGGAACUUGAGUGCAGAAGAGGAGAGUGGAAUCCCAUGUGUAGCGGUGAAAUGCGUAGAUAUAUGGAGGAACACCAGUGGCGAAGGCGACUCUCUGGUCUGUAACUGACGCUGAGGCUCGAAAGCGUGGGGAGCAAACAGGAUUAGA
rnacentral:rRNA from 1 species